UACGUAGGGUGCGAGCGUUAUUCGGAAUUACUGGGCGUAAAGCGUGCGCAGGCGGUAAUGUAAGACAGGUGUGAAAUCCCCGGGCUUAACCUGGGAACUGCAUUUGUGACUGCAUUGCUGGAGUGCGGCAGAGGGGGAUGGAAUUCCGCGUGUAGCAGUGAAAUGCGUAGAUAUGCGGAGGAACACCGAUGGCGAAGGCAAUCCCCUGGGCCUGCACUGACGCUCAUGCACGAAAGCGUGGGGAGCAAACAGG
rnacentral:rRNA from 1 species